CACCACUUUAGGGUCACACACAUCAUGCUAAGAUGCAAUGUAAUAUACUUGGUUUUGUGUGUUGUGCAAAACUAACCAUUGUGGUUUAAAAAGAGGAUUCAUAGCUUAGCCUGAUGGGCUCAAACAGCCAAUUAUAGCUUAGUCAACAAAUUGUGGUCAACAAAACCAAGGCUUUGUGUAACAGUGACAGGUCAAUAGAUAUUAAAAAGCUGAACAAAUGAAUCUUGAUCUUCUUCUAUAGAGGUGUCCUCAGCUUGCCUUCUGGAGAAGUUUACUUCCCCCCUAGAACUGGUUAGUUAACUACUGAGUUGGUUCAAGCAAUCCUGUCAGCAUGAAAGAGCACAUUGCAGCCCUUGUUCUUUAUACAUUCUUAAAGUAUAUUUCUAAUAGUUCGGAUGUUCAGCACCUUCACAUUUUGCACAAAAAUGCCCUUAUCUUACCUUGUUCAUUUACCUAUUAUUCUUAUAGAUUACUGUAGUCCUAAUAAAUAUUGCAACAGUCUACUUCCAGUUAAAAUUAAAUACUUAUCCAUACAAUUUGCCAUGAUGCAGAGCAUGUCAAAACACCUUGAGACAAUAAGAGAAUAAAAACCAAAACCAUGUUCCUUGGAAAAUUUUGUAGUGAUGGAAAAUAGUUUUAAAGGGCACCCAGUUUUUUUAAAAGCCUAAGGAGGUUCUAUUCCCACCUCCAGGUUUUCUUAAUAAUAAUUACUCCUGCAAGCCAUUGACAAAUGGGAUAUUUCAUUGAAUGAAUGGCAUGCAUGACCACUUGGAAUGAAGCUCCUAGGAAUUCAGUACAGAGAAACUUCCAAUUGUGUGUAAAAUUGCAGCCUAAAUCCGGGCCUGGAUUCAGCUAUUUUGAGAUGAAAAUACAUCCUGUAGUUUUAAAAGUAUGUUUUAGAAGUGAAAUGAACCACUGAUGCAUUUAAUAUGGCCUCUCCAGAUCCACUUGAAACUUGGCUUCACAUUUUAAUUGCAUUGAAAAAAGCUAUCAGAGCAAUUAUUUGCUUUGCAUUGCUAGAGUGCCUGGAAAAUUGAGAAAGCUUUAAUAUAUUCUUCUAAAAUGCUUUCUGAGGCUGCAUUUUAUACAAACCAUUUGAAGAAUGUUUAUGUUUUUUGACACUUUUCUUCAGAAAACCUUAUUGGUUUCCUGCUUUGUUGCAUUGACCUAUCCAAAUCAUUCUAUGAUUCCAAUUUUUUUUUUCUCCAACUUUUGCAUCCUGUUAUCCGUAAGAGGACCACUCCUUUCUUAAUGUUGAAUUUAGCACCCUUUGCAAAUUGCUAUAGAAGUUCUCAAUUUCUUCCUUCACUGCUUCUGAACAAGCUCAGAUAUUAUUGGAGCUUGAGAUGGAAGACCAGCAUUAUUUAGGGCUUAAAGAUGACACAAAACCAAAAGUGUUGUAAUCUUUCACCUUUAUGGAAUGUUUUAAAUUCUUUUAAAAAAUGUUCCAUCAGUGUGAAAUCAGUAAAAACAUACAUAGUUUUCAUGUAGUGACCACAAUUGGCAUCAAAUCAGUGAUUAAGCAAAGUAGCCAUUUUUGCUAAUUGAAACCAUAACUUUGCCUAUGAUCUUACUUUCCUUUGCUUUACAGACUUGUGAAAGUCAUAAAUGUGAGGACUGAUCAUAAAGUUACCCUUUCAUCACUGUUGUUACCUGUGGUUUAAAUGUCACAGCUAAGAAAAGCGGUCCUGUAUUUCUACUCUCAGCAAUGAUAUUGGAGAAAUUUGCUUCAAGUUCAACAGAUUUGCUUAGACAGUUUGGGGCAUCAGGCCGAGUUACUCAGAUCUGGCUUGCAUGAUAUCUCAGUUGCAUGAUUAGAAAUCAAGCCAUUUUUACCACGAUGCUCCUGUAAUUGAAAUGAUUUCAAGUGGGUUUUAAUUCCAGCACUUCAGGAAAUAAAAUAAAUAAUAAAAACGCGAAGACAUGAGUCAAACCACCCUUGCAGGAUGAAACUCAGCUAAUGUGAGGGGAGGGAAAAAUUUUAAGCACAGACUUGAAUUUGGUCAACGUUGCAAAAAAGCUCUGUUUAGAACAGUGUUUCUCAACCUUAGCAUCUUUAAGAUUUGUGGACUUCAAGCCCCAUGGCUGGCUGGGGAAUUCUGGGAGCUGAAGUCCACAUAUCUUAAAGUUGCUAUAGUUGAGAAAAACUACUUUAGAAUCAUGACUUAGGAAAAUCAAUGGAAGUAGAGUUCUGAACCUAAUAUUAUCCUGCUCACAACAUGUGAGAUAAAUGUCUUCACUUAUAGAACCUGCUUCAAAGUUUGCACACGCUAAAAUUUGUCACAAUCAUGGAUGAUCCUGAAUUCACUCUGAGAUUCCUGCCUUUUAAUUGUGCCUACCAGGCCUUCUUAUUUUGUCUUGUAAUGGCUUGGUUUCAUACAGACUGGAUGUGAGGUGCGAAGGAUCAGGUCCACAUAUGAAGGUCCAAUUAAACUGAUUUUUUGCUAAUAAUGCCUAUGAACAGGAAUCUUGUCAACUAACAGGCUAGAUAAGGGUCAAUAGGAUUCAAGGGAAGUUGAACUUAGUUUGCUUGUGGCUACAUAAGGAUUCUAGGCUGAUCCCUCCUUUAACUCUGCCCCCAGGUUCUGCCAUUCCUCCUAUACUGGGAUAGUGCAUUUACUUAGGAGCACUUGAUAAAGUUUUGAGUAAGCUAAUACAACGUAAUAAACUAAACAUAAUGAGAUAAAAUGGCAGUUUUCCUGCCAUACUUACCCAGGCAUAAAAUUAGGCAGUGAACAUGCAAGCUCACAACCACUGGUUCAUUCUGUGAGCUGGGAUGGUUAAUGAGAUAAUACGAGAUUCAUUUAGCCUAGUUUAACAUAAUGCAACAAUGUUCCAGUGUAGUUCUGCCCUUCUGGAAGAGGCCUGAAAAUAAAGCCAAAAACAAACAAAACCCACAAUGUGGGUUUAUUUUAGGCAGAUGGAGUUUUCACACAUCACGAUGUUAACCAAAUAGAUAGCUUGUUGACUACAGAUUCACAUGGCAGGAGUCUGUGACUGAUUCACCACCAACACUAGGUAAGUGCAGUGGUUCAUUAAGAUUGGACUGAGAUAUACAAGUCCCGCCAAAUACUGUUGCAGUUGCUGCACUCUUUGUAAAAACUUCUCACAAAAUAGAUGCACUGCUGUAAGCACAAAAACCUAAACAGCUGCAUCCAUUAUCUUCAUUUCCCAGAGAAUAGGAAAUCCAUGAGAAUAAAAUAGAAAGAGUUCAGCUGCUUACCCACUAGUUAGUAAGAAGAGAUUGGAGAUUUAAGGGAAAAAUGAACACCCAGAAGUCCAGCAUUAUUGUAUGAAUAGGAGGAUCAAGCAGGUCAGUGCUAAGAAAAGCAAAUGGUGAUUAUCCUUCCAAGAAAGCAGCUUCCUCAGUACUCACCCCACCAUGGCUGCACCAUGGAACAAGGUUAAGCUGUGAAUAUAAUGAUCUUGCCUCUGUUGGCAAGCUGUCUCUUCUUUUCAUUCCCCAUGCUUCUUAAGGUAGUAUCAUCAGUAGAAAAUUUUAGUGGUUUUCAGUUCAGUUCCUUAUAGGUGUUAGAUGGUUUGAAUCAGUGUUGACUCCUGGUGAUUGCCUGAAUGAGUCCCUGCAAUUUUCUUGGCAAGAUUUCAGAAGCGAUUUGCCAUUGUCCCCUUCCUAGGGUUAGGAGAGAGUGGCUGGCCCAAGACAUCCAGCUGGCUUUGGGCCUAAGGCAGGAUUAGAAAUCAUGGCUUUUGGAUUUCUAGCCUGGUGGUCUUAACCACUGCACCAACCUGGCUCCGAUAUUCAUAAAUCUACCUGCUUAUUAAGAUUUACUUUUCAGGCUUGGCUGCAGUUCUCCUUGCUGAUGGAAGAGUAGUUUUGGUAGGGCAACCCCAGGGCUGCAUGCUGCUUUCUCAGAGGCACAUGAAAUUUGUCCUGGUCCAAGAGAGAAGUAGAGAAUCUUCUACCGAUCUGUGUUUGUGUUACAUAUUUUAGUUGUUGCCCUUUAAAUACCUUACCUUUUGAAUAUGUAUUGCUAAGUUUAUAAGCUAAUGUGAAGCAAUGUAUAAAUAUUUCAAAUAAAAAUGUUCAAAACCUG